GUCCUCGUGGCGAAAUUGGAUAUCGCAUAGGGCUUCGGACCCUAAGUUGCGGGUUCGAGUCCCGCCGAGGACA
rnacentral:tRNA from 1 species